rnacentral:rRNA from 1 species
GGGUGAGUAAUGUCUGGGAAACUGCCCGAUGGAGGGGGAUAACUACUGGAAACGGUAGCUAAUACCGCAUAACGUCGCAAGACCAAAGAGGGGGACCUUCGGGCCUCUUGCCAUCGGAUGUGCCCAGAUGGGAUUAGCUAGUAGGUGGGGUAAUGGCUCACCUAGGCGACGAUCCCUAGCUGGUCUGAGAGGAUGACCAGCCACACUGGAACUGAGACACGGUCCAGACUCCUACGGGAGGCAGCAGUGGGGAAUAUUGCACAAUGGGCGCAAGCCUGAUGCAGCCAUGCCGCGUGUGUGAAGAAGGCCUUCGGGUUGUAAAGCACUUUCAGCGGGGAGGAAGGCAAUACGGUUAAUAACCGUGUUGAUUGACGUUACCCGCAGAAGAAGCACCGGCUAACUCCGUGCCAGCAGCCGCGGUAAUACGGAGGGUGCAAGCGUUAAUCGGAAUUACUGGGCGUAAAGCGCACGCAGGCGGUCUGUCAAGUCGGAUGUGAAAUCCCCGGGCUCAACCUGGGAACUGCAUUCGAAACUGGCAGGCUUGAGUCUUGUAGAGGGGGGUAGAAUUCCAGGUGUAGCGGUGAAAUGCGUAGAGAUCUGGAGGAAUACCGGUGGCGAA